rnacentral:tRNA from 1 species
GGCCGGGUGGCUUAGCUGGACAUAGCGCCGCACUCAUAGGGUUCAGAGAUUCGGUGCGGUACGCUGCCUUGGAAGCGUCCGCGUCCUUCCCGUGGCUCCGCCGAGCCUCGGACCUGGGACAUGCGGAGAUCGUGGGUUCGGAGCCCACCCCGGCCA